AUUGAACGCUGGCGGCAGGCCUAACACAUGCAAGUCGAACGAGUGGCGGACGGGUGAGUAAUGUCUGGGAAGCUGCCCGAUGGAGGGGGAUAACUAGUGGAAACAGUAGCUAAUACCGCAUACAAUCGGAAGUUCCCAGAUGGGAUGAGCUAUUAGGUGGGGUAACGGCUCACCUAGGCGACGAUCCCUAGCUGGUCUGAUAGGAUGACCAGCCACACUGGAACUGAGACACGGUCCAGACUCCUACGGGAGGCAGCAGUGGGGAAUAUUGAACAAUGGGCGCAAGCCUGAUGCAGCCAUGCCGCGUGUAUGAAGAAGGCCUUCGGGUUGUAAAGUACUUUCAGCGAGGAGGCGUUACUCGCAGAAGAAGCACCGGCUAACUCCGUGCCAGCAGCCGCGGUAAUUC
rnacentral:rRNA from 1 species